rnacentral:rRNA from 1 species
GAUGAACGCUGGCGGCGUGCCUAAUACAUGCAAGUCGAGCGAACGGACGAGAAGCUUGCUUUUCUGAUGUUAGCGGCGGACGGGUGAGUAACACGUGGAUAACCUACCUAUAAGACUGGGAUAACUUCGGGAAACCGGAGCUAAUACCGGAUAAUAUUUUGAACCGCAUGGUUCAAAAGUGAAAGACGGUCUUGCUGUCACUUAUAGAUGGAUCCGCGCUGCAUUAGCUAGUUGGUAAGGUAACGGCUUACCAAGGCAACGAUGCAUAGCCGACCUGAGAGGGUGAUCGGCCACACUGGAACUGAGACACGGUCCAGACUCCUACGGGAGGCAGCAGUAGGGAAUCUUCCGCAAUGGGCGAAAGCCUGACGGAGCAACGCCGCGUGAGUGAUGAAGGUCUUCGGAUCGUAAAACUCUGUUAUUAGGGAAGAACAUAUGUGUAAGUAACUGUGCACAUCUUGACGGUACCUAAUCAGAAAGCCAGGGCUAGCUACGUG